UGAGUAACACGUAUGCAACCUGCCUGCCACAGCCGGAUAAUCGGGAGAAAUUCCGUCUAAUACGGCAUAAUGCAUCGACGGGACAUCCUGUUGGUGCCAAAGGUUAAUUCCGGUGGCGGAUGGGCAUGCGUCGCAUUAGUUAGUUGGCGGUGUCACGGACCACCAAGACGACGAUGCGUAGGGGUUCUGAGAGGAAGGUCCCCCACACUGGUACUGAGACACGGACCAGACUCCUACGGGAGGCAGCAG
rnacentral:rRNA from 1 species